CGCUAUCACUCCUACGGGAGGCAGCAGUGGGGAAUAUUGCACAAUGGGGGAAACCCUGAUGCAGCCAUGCCGCGUGUGUGAAGAAGGCCUUCGGGUUGUAAAGCACUUUCAGUAGGGAGGAAGGUAGUGUAGUUAACACCUGCAUUAUUUGACGUUACCUACAGAAGAAGCACCGGCUAACUCCGUGCCAGCAGCCGCGGUAAUACGGAGGGUGCGAGCGUUAAUCGGAAUUACUGGGCGUAAAAGCGCAUGCAGGCGGCCUGUUAAGUCAGAUGUGAAAGCCCGGGGCUUAACCUCGGAAUUGCAUUUGAAAACUGGCAGGCUAGAGUCUUGUAGAGGGGGUAGAAUUUCAGGUGUAGCGGUGAAAAUGCGUAGAGAUCUGAAGGAAUACCAGUGGCGAAGGCGGCCCCCUGGACAAAGACUGACGCUCAGAUGCGAAAGCGUGGGGAGCAAACAGGAUUAGAUACCCUGGUAG
rnacentral:rRNA from 1 species